GAACCCACCUGACACAAGUUGGGUACUCACUCGAUAUAGAGUGUAGAGCGAACGAGGGGAACUGAAACAUCUAAGUACCCUUAGGAAGAGAAAUCAAUUGAGAUUCCCGUAGUAGUGGCGAGCGAAGUGGGAAGAGCCUGGUAUGAUUUAGCUGUAAUUAUAGUAGAACAAGUUGGGAAGCUUGACGAUAGAGGGUGAUAGUCCCGUAUACGAAAUAAUCACAGUGGAACUAAGCAUACGAACAAGUAGGACGGGGCACGUGGAACCUUGUCUGAAUAUGGGGGGACCAUCCUCCAAGGCUAAAUACUCCUGAAUGACCGAUAGUGAACUAGUACCGUGAGGGAAAGGUGAAAAGAACCCUUAUAAAGGGAGUGAAAUAGAAUCUGAAACCGCUUGCAUACAAGCAGUAGGAGCAUGAUUUAGUCAUGUGACUGCGUACCUUUUGUAUAAUGGGUCAGCGAGUUAUUUUUAGUGGCGAGGAUAACUGAAUAAGGGAUCCGUAGCGAAAGCGAGUUUUAAUAGGGCGACUAGUCGCUAGGAGUAGACCCGAAACCGGCGCGAUCUAUCCAUGGCCAGGUUGAAGAUUAGGUAGUACUAAUUGGAGGACCGAACCCAAUACUGUUGCAAAAGUAUGGGAUGAG
rnacentral:rRNA from 1 species